AUGACUUGCAAUCUCUCCGAGAUCGUCUGGUCCAUCAAAAACAAGGAGACUGACUCAACUGCUGAGUUUCUUGACAGGCUGGAGAAAGAGUCCGGGGACAUAAAUCCUGCGUACAAUGGUCGCAACUUAAUCCACUAUGCAGCAGACUAUGGAAAUCUUCACACUUUGGAGCUGCUUGUAAAAAAGGCUGCGAUGUAAAUAUUAUGGACAAACAUGAGAUCACGCCUUUACUAGCAGCAAUUUGGGAAGGGCAUGCCAAAUGCGUCAAGUUCCUCAUCGACAAUGUAAGUUCUCCAUAAUUUUACUUUGUACCAUGUUUUUAAGUUCCAAGAAUUGAGCCAUUAUUUUUUAAUUUAUGUGAACAUGAUUGUGCAACUUUAAAAUUAAAGAUCAAGCAACAUGAAAGUAAUGAUGGAGAAAAUGAAAAUUGACCACUGCAAAUUUAAGCAUUAUGAUACAUGUUUGU
rnacentral:lncRNA from 1 species